rnacentral:rRNA from 1 species
UACGAAGGGGGCUAGCGUUGCUCGGAAUCACUGGGCGUAAAGGGUGCGUAGGCGGGGCUUUAAGUCAGGGGUGAAAUCCUGGAGCUCAACUCCAGAACUGCCUUUGAUACUGAGGAUCUUGAGUAUGGGAGAGGUGAGUGGAACUGCGAGUGUAGAGGUGAAAUUCGUAGAUAUUCGCAAGAACACCAGUGGCGAAGGCGGCUCACUGGCCCAUUACUGACGCUGAGGCACGAAAGCGUGGGGAGCAAACAGG